ACGCCGUGGGCGUGUGUGCGCAGCUGGAAAGCGCUCGAAAUCGUCCUUAUUUUUUCUGUUGCUCAUUUAUUUCUUGGGAACCGUAAAGCAGGUUGCGCCCUUGCCGCAGUGUUGCAACAAGUAUACCUAUUGCACGGCAGUUAAUGGAGGAGUUGUAAAGUAUCCGAGAGUUAUAUAGCCACGUGUCAAGUAGAAACGGGUUGAAGAAACUACACUGCCACCCUGGACCAAAGAUGAACAUGGACAGGUGCUCAGGAGAAAAGAAAGCCUCCGGCGUACCACACGACAUCGCUUCGUGUGGGACAGACCUCCGUGUGCUUUAACCCGCCUAAAGGAGGUUACGUUACGGAGGCUUCGCCUUGGUGCCACCCUGCGAGAAUAAAAUGUUUGAAAACAUAA